AAGAGCUAGUCCAUUGAUAAGCAUCGGGAAUAGUGUUCCAGACAGAGUGAACCUGAGAUGGCAAAGAAUCGUGGUUCAUUCAGGGACUGAAAGAAUGUUGUAACUGGCUGAAGAGCUGCAACAAAUGAUGUCAUCAUUGCCAAGAAGAGCAAAAGUCAAGGUCCAGACUGUGGUAUCCAAAGAUGAAUUCUCUUCCUUCUCAGAGUUAUCAUCUGCCUCUGAAGAAGAUGACAAGGAAGAUAGUGCCUGGGAGCCCCAAAAGAAAGUCCCCAGAAGUCGUAAGCAGCCUAUUCCCAAGGAAUGCAAACCAAAGAGGGUGCGACGGGUAAAGAAGACCACCCUACAGAUCAGUGAUGGCUCGGAAGGUGUGGCUGUUAAGGAGGAGCUGAAUAACUCUGUGGCUAUUGCUGAUGUUGAUUUGGAAGACAGAAAAAAUAAGUUGGAUACUGUGCAGACUCUGAAAACAGCAAAGACAAAACGGAAAAAUUCAGCUCAGUCACCUUCAGGUCAGAGGACCAAAAAGCUAAAAGUUGAUGAAGAAGGCAACAGGGCCAGCACCAUGGAGAGUGGGCAUGAGGCUGCAGAGAUGCCAUCCACAAGCACCAUGUGGGAAGGUGCGUGCAAGAAGGAAGAGAAUGGAGAUGACUUUACAUUUGGUCAGUCCCCUUUAAAGAAAAUGAAGACGGAAACAUGUCCCCAAGGGCAGCCUGUGAGGCUUCCAGCAAAUGCCACCAAUAUUAAGGAGGAGGUGGAAAUGAACUGGGACAUAGUACAGGUUUUAUCUGAGAGAACUAAUAUUGAACUUUGGGUUUGUGCCAACAUUAUUCGUCUCUUUAAUGACGAUAACACAAUUCCCUUCAUUAUACGGUAUCGAAAAGAACUCAUUAAUAACCUUGAUGCUGAUUCCUUGAGAGAAGUUCGACAAACCCUAGAGGAGCUCCGGGCUGUUGCAAAGAAGGUUCAUAGUACAAUCCAAAAAAUUAAGAAGGAGGGGAAGAUGUCUGAGUGCUUGUUAAAAGCCUUACUGAACUGUAAAACUUUUGAAGAACUAGAACAUGUGUCAGCUCCAUAUAAAACUGGGAGCAAAGGCACUAAAGCCCAGAGAGCAAAGCAGUUGGGAUUAGAAGGAGCAGCCAGGACACUGCUUGAGAAUCCAGGGCAGCUCAAUCUGCUAUCUUACAUUAAACCCAAUGUAAAAGGACUUUCAGCACUCCAGGAUAUUGAAACGGGAGUGCAGCAUAUUUUAGCAGACAUGAUUGCUAAAGACAAAGACACGCUUGACUUCAUUCGGAAAUUGUGCCAAAAUAGGUAUAUUUGCAUCCAGUCAUCUCUGGCGAAGGUGUCCUCAAAAAAAGUAAAUGAGAAAGACGUUGAUAAGUUUCUGCUCUACCAGAAUUUUUCGUGCAACAUAAGAAACAUCCAACAUCAUCAGAUCCUGGCAAUUAACCGUGGGGAAAAUUUGAAGAUACUGACUGUUAAGGUCAACAUUUCUGAUGGUGUGAAGAAUGAAUUCUGUAGAUGGUGCAUCCAAAACAGGUGGAGACCACGUGGCUUUGCAAGGCCGGAGUUAAUGAAGAUCUUACACAGUUCACUGGAUGAUUCUUUUAAACGCCUUAUUUAUCCUCUCCUCUGUAGAGAGUUCAGGGCCAAACUAACAUCAGAUGCAGAGAAGGAAUCAGUAAUGAUGUUUGGACGGAACCUUCGUCAGCUCCUUUUAACAAGUCCUGUUCCAGGGCGCACCCUGAUGGGGGUGGAUCCUGGUUACAAACAUGGUUGCAAAUUGGCUAUAAUUUCUCCUACCAGUCAGAUACUUCAUACUGAUGUGGUUUACUUGCAUUGUGGACAAGGCUUUCGAGAGGCAGAGAAAAUAAAGAGGCUUUUGCUGAAUUUCAACUGCAGCACAGUGGUGAUUGGAAAUGGAACUGCCUGCCGGGAAACAGAAGCUUACUUUGCUGACCUGAUAAUGAAAAAUUACUUUGCACCACUGGAUGUUGUUUACUGUAUCGUCAGUGAAGCAGGGGCAUCAAUCUACAGUGUCAGCCCUGAAGCUAACAAAGAGAUGCCGGGGCUGGACCCUAAUUUGAGAAGUGCAGUUUCCAUAGCAAGGCGUGUACAAGACCCAUUAGCUGAGCUGGUGAAAAUUGAGCCGAAGCACAUUGGAGUCGGAAUGUACCAGCAUGACGUAUCUCAGACUUUGCUCAAGGCAACACUGGACAGUGUUGUAGAAGAAUGUGUCAGCUUUGUGGGAGUGGAUAUUAACAUCUGUUCUGAAGUUUUGUUGAGGCAUAUUGCAGGACUCAAUGCCAACCGAGCCAAAAAUAUUAUUGAAUGGCGAGAGAAAAAUGGACCCUUUGUCAACCGAGAACAGCUAAAAAAAGUGAAAGGGCUGGGUCCAAAAUCUUUCCAACAGUGUGCUGGCUUCAUCAGAAUCAACCAGGAUUAUAUUAGAACAUUUUGCAGUAGUCAGCAAACCGAAUCUGCGGGCCAAAUUCAGGGAGUUGCUGUGACAUCUUCAGCAGGUGUUGAGGUCACAAAUGAGAAGCAAGGCAAGAAGAAGAGCAAAACUGCAGUAAAUGUUGUACUGAAGCCAAAUCCUUUGGACCAAACUUGUAUUCACCCGGAAUCGUAUGACAUAGCGAUGAGGUUUUUGUCAUUCGUCAGAGGGACGCUGUAUGAGAUUGGAAAGCCUGAAAUGGAGCAAAAAAUAAAUUCGUUCCUUGAAAAGGAGGGCAUAGAGAAAAUUGCAGAAAGUUUGCAAACAACAGUUCACACCUUACAGGUCAUCAUAGAUGGUCUCAGCCAGCCUGAGAGCUUUGACUUUCGAACAGAUUUUGAUAAACCUGAUUUCAAGAGAAGCAUAGUCUGCUUGGAAGACCUGCAGGUUGGGACAGUUCUCACAGGCAAAGUCGAGAAUGCCACUCUGUUUGGAAUUUUUGUAGAUAUAGGAGUGGGGAGAUCAGGGCUGAUUCCCAUACGAAAUGUGACAGAAGCAAAACUUUCUAAAACAAAGAAGAGAAGGAGUCUUGGACUGGGCCCUGGAGAAAGAGUGGAAGUCCAAGUACUCAACAUUGACAUCCCCCGAUCUAGGAUUACUCUGGACCUCAUUCGGGUGUUUGCAGACAGAAUGCCGGAAGUGCUGGAGGUCAGACAGUGACAAACACUCAAUAGCGACUGCUGGACAGAAAGAUAGAAAGUUCCUGAAUCCAUCCUGGCAUUGUAGAGUCACACAACAGCCCUGAACUGCCUCCUCUGGACUUCACGUUAGGUUUGAAUCUCUUGGCCAUGAAGAAGAGAGUGGCACCAGUGAAAGUCGGACCUAAGAAAGGAGAGUGAAAACAGCAUAGAACAGAUGGGACAAACAGAAACACAGGUAAGAUGAUAUAUACAAACACUAAUACAUCAAUAUUUACUUUAAAUGUAAGUACUUGGAUUAAAAGGCAGAGAUUAUUCAGUCCGGAUGAAACAACAGAAACAAAACCAUGGAGCUCAAGCAGGAGAACCUGCGCGAAGAGGCAGAGAGGAUGCAUUUGCAGGCACAUUUCAGAACAGCCUACCAAGGUGUGUUUCCCCACGUUGAGGGACACAUCCCGAAGUGUGACACCUGAUCCUUCGUGAACAGUAGCAGUAGUCAAAUGCACAGGCCGGUGGCCGAUGCUUCCCCGAGACCAGAUUUGGUUUUGAGAAACAAAAAGAAGAUGGACUGAACAAGGAAUCACACACUUAGAGUUCACCAACGGGUGCCACUGAUAAAGGCAUAACACCUGGCUCCCCAAGUGUAAUUCCAACAAGAAUGUUGAUAUUAACAAGUUGGAUGCAAGUGAAACAAUGAAGAUGUGUUGGAACCUCCCACAUCCACCCAUUGUGUGACUUCUUUGUGGAAUUGGAUCAUAGUUUUGGAAUACUGGAAGAGUAGGGGUUUUUCUUCUUCUCCUCUUCCUCCUCCUCCUUCUUUUUUUCUGUUCACAAUGUAGUGGCUGUAGAUGUGACAUAUUUUUAAGUUUCAUCUGUAGCAUUAACAUUUUCUCCAUCACUUUCUUAGAUCUAGACCAGGGUCUGGCAAACUACAUCCCAAGAGCCACAUUAAACUUAGUUCACCUUACUGUUUUAAAUAUCAUAAGACUUUGAUAGGCACCAAAUUAUGUGAAUAAGCUCUUGUUAGAAGUACAAGAAAUAUUGUACAUCAUUUCUUUUUCCCUUGAGCUUCUAUUUUCCUUUCACUUCUUUCACAUAAUUGUAUCCCAGUGGAGUAUCAUUAUGCUUAAACAUUUUUUGUGUAAUUCCUAUCAUAUUUCUCUGCAACAAAAAAUGUAUGAAUUAAAAUUUAAUUUGUUUUAAUUUCUUAUGUCCAUAAGUAUUAAUUGUUUCCUCUGCUGGGAGUUAUUGCAGUUAUUAACGGUAUACAGUUAAACAAAACAAAUGUUAUGAAUUUUGACAAAUAAUGAUUAAAAAGUAAAAGUGUAUUAGAAAAUUAUCAUUUCAUGAUAUUGAAUGAGACAUUUCUCAGUUCAUGUAAGCACAGGUAAAUGUUCAAGUAUGAUUUAUUUUCAGAAAGAGACAGGCUUAGCAUCAAUUCUCUUCCUCCUUUUACAUUUUAUAGAUACAAGCACUGAGAAAGAACCCUUAUUGACAUAAAUAGCUGAUAGAGAGAAAAGGAGUUUUACUAAACAUCACUCAAGGCUUGGAAAUCUUUUCAAGUAAUAUGCCAAAAUAAUGUAGUAAUCAGCAAAAAUUGUUCAUAAUGGUAUACCACUGGUAAUUUGAGUAGAUCCUCCCUCAUCUUUGUCAAAACCCAGGAAUUAGAAACCACCCAACUUGUAAAAAAUUUUGUUUCUAGUCUUUAAAUUCAUUCAGUUUUUCAAUUUCUGAUAGUUUUGACAAAAGAGACUUUCCAAGUCUUAUCAUAUUACUAUUAUUUAUUCUUGUUAUUCUUAGAGAAAUCUCAAUUUUUAGCUUAAGUUAAAGUGAGAUUUAAAAAAACAACACAAAUAUGAAACUUGUACAGCCUUUGUGAAGAAAGUAUAAUCAUGCUGAAUUUCUGUUUUGUAAGACAUCCUGAAAUGUCUUUAAAAAGCAAGACAGAGUUGGAAAGAGUUGGUUACUCAACAGUUGUUAUAUAGAGAUAAGUUGGUAAUUUAUUAAUGAUUGAAAAGGAGCAUGUUUGUAAUUAAAUGUUUGAUAUUAUUAAAAAAGCACAUCAAGUCUGAGAGGGAGGAAUUAUCCCUAAUUAAAUAAAGUUGGUUUUGUAAAGCUCAGGA